GAUGAACGCUGGCGGCGUGCCUAAUACAUGCAAGUCGAGCGAACGGACGAGAAGCUUGCUUCUCUGAUGUUAGCGGCGGACGGGUGAGUAACACGUGGAUAACCUUCCUAUAAGACUGGGAUAACUUCGGGAAACCGUAGCUAAUACCGGAUAAUAUUUUGAACCGCAUGGUUCAAAAGUGAAAGACGGUCUUGCUGUCACUUAUAGAUGGAUCCGCGCUGCAUUAGCUAGUUGGUAAGGUAACGGCUUACCAAGGCAACGAUGCAUAGCCGACCUGAGAGGGUGAUCGGCCACACUGGAACUGAGACACGGUCCAGACUCCUACGGGAGGCAGCAGUAGGGAAUCUUUCGCAAUGGGCGAAAGCCUGACGGAGCAACGCCGCGUGAGUGAUGAAGGUCUUCGGAUCGUAAAACUCUGUUAUUAGGGAAGAACAUAUGUGUAAGUAACUGUGCACAUCUUGACGGUACCUAAUCAGAAAGCCACGGCUAACUACGUG
rnacentral:rRNA from 1 species